GGAGGGUUCAGAAGUAGAACACCUGCUUCACAUGCAGAAGGUCCCAGGUUCAAUCUCCAGCAUCUCCA
rnacentral:tRNA from 1 species